UACAGAGGUCCCGAGCGUUGUUCGGAUUCACUGGGCGUAAAGGGUGCGUAGGUGGUGAGGUAAGUCGGAUGUGAAAUCUCCAAGCUCAACUUGGAAAUGGCAUUGGAAACUACCUUGCUGGAGGUUUGGAGGGGGGACUGGAAUUCUCGGUGUAGCAGUGAAAUGCGCAGAUAUCAGGAGGAACACCGGUGGCGAAGGCGGGUCUCUGGGCCGAUACUGACGCUGAGGCACGAAAGCGUGGGGAGCAAACAGG
rnacentral:rRNA from 1 species